rnacentral:rRNA from 1 species
UACAGGGGGGGCAAGCGUUGUUCGGAAUUACUGGGCGUAAAGGGCCAGUAGGCGGCCAACUAAGUCCGACGUGAAAUCCCCAGGCUUAACCUGGGAACUGCGUCGGAUACUGGAUGGCUUGAAUUCGGGAGAGGGAUGCAGAAUUCCAGGUGUAGCGGUGAAAUGCGUAGAUAUCUGGAGGAAUACCGAUGGCGAAGGCAGCUCACUGGGACGGUACUGACGCUGAGACGCGAAAGCGUGGGGAGCAAACAGG